rnacentral:misc_RNA from 1 species
GAUGAAGAACGCAGCGAAUUGCGAUACGUAAUGUGAAUUGCAGAUUUUCAGUGAAUCAUCGAAUCUUUGAACGCACAUUGCGCCCCUUGGUAUUCCAUGGGGCAUGCCUGUUCGAGCGUCAUUUGUACCUUCAAGCUUUGCUUGGUGUUGGGUGUUUGUCUCGCCUUUGCGUGUAGACUCGCCUUAAAAUAAUUGGCAGCCGGCGUAUUGAUUUCGGAGCGCAGUACAUCUCGCGCUUUGCACUCAUAACGACAGCGUCCAAAAGUACAUUUUACACUCUUGACCUCGGAUCAGGUAGGGAUACCCGCUGAACUUAAGCAUAUCAAUAAGCGGAGGA